UUGCCAUUGCAUUAUGUGCCUUUAUUGAACCUGAAGAGGAUUAUAAAUUUGAAGCAGACCACCCUUUCUUUUUCUUCAUCAAGGACAAGUUGUCCAAUUUCAUUCUUUUUUCUGGGAGACUUCUAAAACCUUAGCUUUUGAAGCAAUCUUCGUACCAAGAUCUCAAAGAGGUGUGGUGAUGAUGAUGCGUGCAAUGCCCAUGGCGCCGCCGGAAUUCGUAGCAGACCACCCUUUCCUCUUCUACAUUAGAGAUCACCAGUCCGGACUUGUGCUGUUUGCCGGCCGGUUCUCUCGGCCCAGUGCUCCGAGCGUUAAGGAUGAACUGUAGUCUUGUGAAAUCUGCAUUAUUUAUAACACGAGGCACAAUUCAGCGAUUUGAUGAAAUAUAUUCGUGCACAAAUCCUGUUGAAUGUUUGGCCAUUGCAGGUCCUCUGUGUCUCGUGAAGCAUGGAAAUUUAGAAAAGGUUAUGGUUGAUCGUUCUUCUAAGUUGUUGUUUAAAGAUUUGAUUACCCACAUGUUUUCACUGAUAUCUCAAUUAGCUAUAAUUAGUUUGUUUCUCUAAUUAUGUUGAAAUUAGAGAAAACCUCUAUUUAUAUUCUGACUGUCAAUAGAUUAACAAGUUGAUAGUACUAAGAUUCACUUCUGUUUCUUUGUCAUGUAGGAUUUACCUCUAAAUGGUGUACUUUCUGUUGCAUAUGAAUCAGUUAUUUUAUUGCCUAUUUUAACGUGAGGUAACUCAUAACAUAAACGUCUCAAUUUGAUUUUUCUGCAGGUCAUUAAUUAUCAAUAGUGUUAAGUUUUGUCGGGUUGUAAAAUGGAUAUGUAACAUUUAGCUUGUAAAUGUAAACAGAUUUAUAUGCAAAUACCAAAUAUUUGGCUGUAGGAAAUAAAAUAUUCACAUUAUUACACAAGAACUGUAUUCUAAAUAAAUAUAUAUCUCGA